rfam:Schistosoma mansoni, Puerto Rico, WGS project CABG01000000 data, contig: 0135
AUCCAGCCGACGAGUCCCGAAUAGGACGAAACGCGCGUCAAACUGGAU